ACCAAGUUGUUGAAAAAGAAGAAUAUGCAAAGGAGGAGAGUUUUGUUACGGCAACUCGCGGAACGUUGAACUCUAAGGCUAACUGCGAAACUAAGUCUUCAAAUCCAAUUCAUGGAUCCAAAGAUAGGCUCUUCUCGAAUGCAGCCUAACCUGACCACGUUUUGAACGGCUUGAAAUGGGUCAGGAAAAAAAAAGCCCCACGGCUGUACGCUGUACUAAAUCCUAAUCUAAGCCCAAAGCCAUGAGCGUGCACGUUUCCAAAUAGCACACCGCACUGUAGAAUAGAGUAAAGAGAUUGCAUUUAGCGCCCAAGUUUCGAAGAUACCGUUUCAUUUGAUGUUCUUUUUCUUGCUUUCCAAGUCACGAACGCCUACGCUCCUUAAUUUGAACGCUCUUCCUCACUAUUACGACGGGCGGCGAAGAGUGAGUCCAACAUAAGUUGCUCCACUCCAACGCCCACCUGUGAUAGAUAUACUGAGGAUUGAAAAAUGGACCAGACUAUGGGGCAAUUCCAGCAAAGUUUGAUUGAGCUUGAAACUGAGGCUGAGCAUCUUCUUUUAGCCAGACAUCAGUUAGUUGAAAAUGAUAAAGUGAGGAAUGGGAAUAGGGAAGCACUAACAGCUCUGAGGAAGAGGGCUAGGACAACAAGAACUAGUAUUCCAUCUCCUUUUGAGUCAAUAAUGAAAGAUAUGGGGCAUCCUGGACCGAGGCCUUUGGUGAAGGAGGUAUGCACAACCUGCGGUGACCAUGACACAAAUGAGCACACAUGGAUGAUGUUCCCUGGAACUGAUGUCUUUGCUAGAAUUCCAUUUCAUGCUGCUCAUACUAUUUUGGAGACAGAUCAAACACAACUUGAUUAUGAUGCAAAAAAGUUGCAAAGCUAUGUGAAGGAGAAAUCUUUUCAUAUCUCAGAAAAGGGUGGCCUAGCUGACAAGAUCAGUCCUGGUGUGCUCAGAUCGCUAGUAACCUUGUCAGACAAACCAAAGGAAAUAGUUUGCAUGAUGAAUGGGCAGGGGAUGAGAAGUUGGGUGGAGUGCUGUAUGCUUUUGAGAUAACAUAGUUUUACAUCUUACCCGUCUGGGUGAUGCGAUGUUGACAAGGCAGAAAGAAGACGUUAAAACGGUCUGUCUGGCCCAAUUUCCCCCUUGUAUUUAUUUCACCUUGCCGAACAAUAAUUUCUUCCCACUAAUUAUUACUCUUUCUUUCGUACUCUAAAUAAAAAUGUAGCGGCUUCCUCUCAACUCAACAGAAACUGGGCAGGCAUUUUACGGGCACCACCUCAAAUUCGACAUUCCGUACAGGAGAGUCAACGUCCAUGGCAGCCUUUCACCAAAUGCCACCAGACUUGCGCUGUACUCAUCUCCUCUCUGUUUUAUUUUGUAUUUAUUGACUCAGUCUCUCCUCUCCUUUAUUUGUUCACAAGGCAAUUUACACGCUUCGCUGUAUACAAUUUCUCAUAUUCGCUGUACUUGUCUUCCACCUGUUACCAUCGAUCGGGAUUUUUGUAAACAGGGCUGUUCAAUUCAACUGGCCAUGGAUUGGAAAUUAAGUGUUGAGAGUACAUAAAUUGGAGGCCUCAUAUCAACAACAAGAAGCCAGCCACUUGCAAUAAUUUUUCAGAAUAAUACAUCGUACGCUAAAGAUUUGAUCGUCUCAUCCCCUGUCUUCUUUCUAACUAUUUGCCCCUUGGUUUCUACUAUAUUUGCACUAAUUGCCCCUCUCAUCAUUCAUUUGCUGCCCAAUUCUGAGCCCAUUGGCCAUUGUGUAUUGUUUUUCACUAUAAGGAGGGGUGGAUCCCCCUUCAGUGACAUGGGUGUCCUUGGACAUUAUUGAUUAUCCAUUGAAGAGGACUGAACUCAUUGAUUUGAA